rnacentral:lncRNA from 1 species
CUGGGGCAGCCGGAUGGAAACCCUGAAGCGGAAGCACACAGCACCCUGGGGGGUCCUCAGAGCCCUGGCGGGGCACGGCCGGGUCCCAGGCAGGUGAUGCACCCCCCCAGCGCCAAGCAGAUGGGUCUUAGCGCUGUUGUCUCUUAUAAGGGAGAUGUGAUGGCCGCAGAGACUCCUGGAGGGUGGCCAGAUGCCGCAGCUGUGAUCACGGCACCUUACGCCCCGCUGAGAGCCUCUCCCUGCUGGCCCGAGGCGUCAGGGCCUGUGCUGGGGCUGCACCUGGUGAGGAGCUCAGGGUGGCCUCCAGCCUCCAGCCAGCAAGAAGCCGGUCCUCAGUUGUACAGAUUUAAGGAAAUAAUUCUGCCAACAGCCUGACGAUGCCUGGUGGCACAGCCCUUCUCGUCCCACGUUGAAACUGUAGCCCGGCCACCUCCUAGACUGCACCCUGGACGGGGGCUCCUGCUAAGCCCUGCCUGGACACCUGGCUCACAGAAGCCACAAGACCAUAAAUGUGUGUUAAGUUACUAAACGUGUGGUAAUUGGUGAGACAGCAAUAGAAGGCAAAUCCACUA